rnacentral:rRNA from 1 species
UACGUAGGGUGCGAGCGUUAAUCGGAAUUACUGGGCGUAAAGCGUGCGCAGGCGGUUUGUUAAGACAGAUGUGAAAUCCCCGGGCUUAACCUGGGAACUGCAUUUGUGACUGGCAAGCUAGAGUAUGGCAGAGGGGGGUAGAAUUCCACGUGUAGCAAUGAAAUGCGUAGAGAUGUGGAGGAAUACCGAUGGCGAAGGCAGCCCCCUGGGCCAAUACUGACGCUCAUGCACGAAAGCGUGGGGAGCAAACAGG